AGUUGGUAGUCGACGCUGCUCCGGCUCCCAGGCUCCGGCAGGGUGACCAGCCCCGCGCAGUGGUCCCGGGGAGCCACCGGGCAGACCUGGCCGCCUAGCACGCCCUCCACGCACACCAGAUUAUCCUGCAAGGACUCAAUACUUUUAACUACUAUGCUAAAUUGCUUCUUGAAGGUCUUGGUGUCAUCACACAGAUGAGUGCAUUAAAAAAAAAAUGGAGCCUUAAAAUAAAAAAAUAUUAACAACUCUAAGGUACCAUGUACUCUUCUGUACCUUGAUAUUUUUCACUUAAGUAAUUUUGGAGGUUUUUCCAGAACAGUACAUGUAGAUCAAGCUCAUUUUCAAUGCUGCAUGGUAUUCCAGGAUGGAGAUCUGGGGAGACAGAGUGUUAAGAAGAAUGGAAAACAUCUUUCCUGAUUGAUAUUAUUGUGGUCAGUCUUCUCCAGACUCGGCAGAUAUUUUAAGGUAACUCUCUUAUGUGGGGAUUCUUCAGAAACCCACCGAUGCAAGAAGACACCUCCAUUAAAAUAGACUUCUGGAUUUCCAUCAGUGACAGGCUUCUGGAGGGGCAGAGCCAAGUGGCAGCCCUUAACGGCCAGCAGCAAGGUGGGUGCAGUUACUAUAAUGGGCAGAGUGUCUGCAGCAGCAAGCAGAGUAUUUCAGCACACAAGAACCUUUGAUGUUUGUUAAUUGUUCAUGGUGGCCCUAGGACCAAAACAGAUUGGAAUUCUACUAGGAAUCGCUUGAUUUAUGUAACUGGGAAAUCUCUAGAUCCGGUGACUAGAAACCUGAGUUGUUCAAUGUACAGUCAUAGCUCAUCACCCAAGUCUCAGAUCUGAAUCAGUUCAAAGACAUAGAAAUGCCCGGAUCACUGAUUUUGCAGCUGGGUCCAAGGAGUAGCAGCAGCAACAGCACCUGGGAAUUUGUUAGAAAUGCACAUUUCCAGACCCUUCCCCAGCCCUAUGGAUGCAAACACUCUGGAGGAGGGUCCAGCAGUCUUUGUUUUAGCAGGCACUUCAGCUGAGUCCUGUGCAUGCUAAGGUCUGAGAACUCUGACCUUAAGAGUAGGAGAGGCUGGAAAGCCUUGAGAAGGGACCCUGUAACAUUGCUGUAAGUACCUAGUGUAAGUCUUCCUUUAAGUCUUCUCCAGAAGAUCUGCAGCCAUUAACUAGGGUAACUGCAGUGAGGAAGGGGGAAUAUCCAGGCCUUUGGGACAUUUCUAGACGUUAGCUCUGAGUCGAUGCUAAUCUGUAAAGCUCCAACAUGCCUCUGGACCACGGAGAGGGGUUGGGGGUAGGGGUCUCGUGUGGUGAUCAAAUGAUAAAUGAAACUUUGGGGUGUGGCUGCUUCACAGUGGCUCUACUCACCCCCACUAUGGUUAUUUUCCCAUCCCUGAAUAGAGCUGUAACAGGUGUCCUCAGCGACUAAAAGAACCCCUGUAUUGAUUCCCUGACCUGGGUGAUGAGCCUUAUUAUGGUAGGCAGGACCACGCGGAAGCUACCUGGAAUUUCCUCUUCUUACCUAAGAGUAAACUGAAAGCAAUACCACAUCCCUGGGAGAAUUGCAGAGAUUAGUAUUUCCAUCUAAUAUUCGAACAAUACAGGGGUUGUUCCACCACAUCCUCAUUUAACUUAUCUGUUUGGCAUGACAGAAGGAAGAUGGUUAUUGGAGAAUGACUAUGGAUUCUUAUAGAAUCAUUGAGGUACCGGACCAGAUGUAGGCUCUUUACUGGAUAACACAGCAGUGCUUCUGGUACUUUGAAGGCAACUAUUGAUCUGGCAGAUGCUUUUUUGUUCUCAAUACCAAAUUAGCAAAGAUCACCAGAUGGAGUUUGCUCCCAAUUAGCAGGAUCAGCAAAACACCCUCCCUGUCUUACUUCAGACCUCUGUGACUCUUCCGCUGUCUGACAAGAUCUUGUCUGCAGGGGCCUUGAUCAUCUUGAUAUUCCCCAGAACACCAUGCUAAUAUAUUACAUUAUUGACAUGGUGAGCAGGAAGCAGCACAUACUCUAGAUGCCUUAAUAAGACAUAUGUAUGCCAGAGGGUGGGAGAGAAACUCCAAGAAAAGUCAAAGGCCUACUACCUCAGUGAAGUUUCUAAGGGGUCCAGUGGUCUGAGAAAUGUUGGCAUUUCCUCUCCAAAUUGAAGGGCAAAUUGCUAUACUUUGUACCACCUACCACUGAGAAAGAGCUACAGUGUUCUCUGUCUCUUGAUUUUUGAGAUAACAUAGGUUCUUUCUGAGUAUUGUUCAAAGCAACAUUUGAGUAAUCCACAAAGCUGCCAAGUUUUGUGUGGGGACCAGCGCAUAAAAAGCCUCCCUAGCAGCAUUUCUCAACAUCAGCAGUGUUGACAUUUGGGGGACAAAGAAUUCUUCGAUGUGGGAGGCUAUUUGCGAAUUGUAAGAUGUUGUUUAGCAGCAUCCCUGGCCUCUACCCCCGGUUGUGACAUCCAGAAAUCUCUACAGACAUCGCCAGAUAUCCUUGGGGGAGCAAAACUGCCCUCACUUGAGAAUCCCUGGCCUACAGCAUGUCUAGGUAAGCCUCAAGGUGAGUAAAGCACUGGCUGACACUUAACUGCAACCUCGUGAGAGACCCCGAGCCAGAUCUUUCUAACUAAGCUAUUCCUCGAUUCCUGACUCUCAGAAACCAUGAGAGAUAAUGAAUGCUUGUUGCUAAGUUUGGGGAUAAUUUGUUGUGCAGCAAUACACUGAUCCACCGAGCCAUACGGUUGACGUACACAGCAGCAAUUGUCGUCCAGUGUAGGUAGUGUACACCAGACUGGAGUUGAGCACGUCCUGAAUGUGCAGAUGGUGGAGGAAGAAACUGUUUGGACCAGGUUCACAGGAUGGUUCCUUACAAUUUGAAGGCAUCAGAUAGAUGUGGACUGUAGAAGCAUUACAGCCCAAAGCAGGAAUGGGUUGUGAAGCAGAGGAAGGUGCUAUUAGAAGUACCAGGUCUGACAUCAACACGAAUUGGUUUUACCUCUUGCUGGCCCAGGACUCCCGGCUGGUCCUGCAGUGUUGGUAGUAUACUCUCUCAGGUAUGGGCGAGGCUCCCUCCUGCUCUUCCUUCAGACCCAGCUCAGAUGUCAGCCCAUCAGGAGGGCUUUCCGGACCACCCGAUGUGAUCAUGCCCUCACCUCCCACCACGUCGGAUUCCCCAUCGUGCUUUGAUUUUCUUCAUGGCGUUUGUCAAAAUGUAUCUCUGUAGAGCCCCGGGGAAUGCAGACAGCCCACGUCACACUCCUGAAGUUGCCAAAAAUCCCUUUAAAAUGAUCCAACAGAUGUCCUUCCUUGGGGUCGAGCGGAUAUAAAUCACAACGGUCUGCUUUCAAUUCCUAACUCGGUGUCUUAGGGGCAGCAAAAUCAAUCACUCUCAGGGAUGAUGAGAUGGACCCUUUGUCUAAAAACAGUUAAGUGAGGAGGAUACAGAGAAGCAAUUGAAGGAAACAAAGGCAAAAGUGGGAAGUCCCCCUCUGGCAAGCAGCUCCAAGAAGACAGAGUUGGUGCCAGAAUGGAAACCUUGGGACUCCAGUUGCUGCAUAAAAAAAUAAAUAGAGGAACAAAAAUAACACCCACAUCUCCAUGCUGGACAGCAGAAGAGCAAGAAGUUGCCGAACAUUUGGUUUUUUUGUUUUUGCUAGAUUAUUUUUUACUCUCUAAAUCUAAGCUCCUAUAUUCCCCUUCUUCCCUGUUUCUAUAUGUUAGAAACUCAGUACAAAUGAAAAAAAAAAACAAAACCAAAAAACCCCCCAAAAAAACCCCAGAACAAAAGCAUUAAGGCUGGGUGCUUCAUUUAUUGUCAACAGGGAUGUUUCAGACUGUUGUUAAACUAGAUGGGACUCAAUGCUUUAGAAACAUCUCAUCACUCAAUUUAGUGAUUUUCAUAUACUUUUGUUAGACUGCCAUGCAGCAAAACAUGGAACUCCUCCCCAGUCCCCUCUACUUCUUCCAUCUCUCAUCAAGGCAGUUUCCUUGUUAUGGUGAAGGGAAAACUGGAUACAACUGCAGUAUUUCUAGUCCUAUCUGAUGAAUAAUACUCAGCCCAUUUCAUCACCUGAGCCUUUAAGACAUAGUAUCUCUUAAAGACCCUGUUAGAUGGGGUUGGGGGAAGCGUCUUGCCCUGUGAAAACAGAUUCAUGCUAGGAGAGGUCAACAAAGACAAUAAAAUAAAUACUUAUUACAUGCUUACUAGAUGCCAGACAGAGUGUCAAGUAAUAAAUGAGCAUUAUCUUAAUUAAUUCUAAUAAUGAACCUUUCUGCAAGAGAGGUAGGUACUAACAUCAACCCCAGUUUACAGAUGAGGAACCUCUUAGAGAGGUUAAGUAACUUGCCCAAGGUCACACAGCUAGUAAGUGGUAGAGCUGGGAGCUAAUCCAGGUCUAACACAGUAUUCAUUAUCUUAAUCCCUAAACUAUAAUGUCACUUGAGUAUGGUGAUAAUAGAAGUAGUGAGAAUCGCCAAGGUAAUAAAAAAUAAAUAAAAUUCAAGCUCAUAACUUCUUAAUCUGAGGUCACCAAAGGUGGUCCAUGGUUUGGGUUGGGGAGAGUCUAUGAAUUAUUUUCAACAAUUCAAAUAGUCUAAUCCAUGGGUUCUUUGUCUUUUGUGUGCCAUGGACCCCUAUGGCUGU